CAGUCCCCAAAAUGUCAGCCUUUCCUUUUAGGGGCUAAGCAGACCCCUGAUGAAAAUUCAGUGCUUGUAGGUGCUGUGGGAGUGGAUUAUCCUCAGAACUGGAAAGUGUUUCCCAAUGUGAGGAGAGAAAUCAUGCUUGGAAUCAGUCUGAUAUCUCAAAAAACUCAACAAAUGGAGAUUGGAAAAGAACUGAUACUACAAGAACUAUAAAAAUAAUGUCUGAGUAAUGAAUAUGAUUGACUUCAUUGAAUUUAAUUUAGGUGUAAGGGAGAUCUUAAGCACAUGAAUAAAAAUACUUAUUUUAUGGAGAGAAAAGAAGCAAAAUAGAGGAAAUGGUUUCUCUGUUUCUCCCCAUUAAGAACACUGAAAGAAUUUAAGAUUGGUGCAAAGAGACAGUAAUUCAGAAACACAAAGCUUAAAUAAUUUGCAAGUCCUACACAUUUCUCAGGUUUUGUUGUAAUUCUUCCACAAGCACAAAACAGAAGCCUACAGAAGGAAGGUAUUAAACUACCUUGAAAAAUACUAAGCGAUGCUCCAUAUAGUAGAAAGUGAAAUAAAACUGCAAUAUGGAAAUUCUGUAUUGGCUGAGAUAGGCUGUUGCUUUCAAAAGCUGCAUAAAAUGGAAGCCAUUAGCUUCUACUUGCAUUUAAGCAGUGGAGUUAUAAAACCAGAAUGAUAUAAAAUUGUAAAUUAUAAUCAGGCAGGUAAUGUUAGACGUUAGAGGAAGAUGCUUCCGUUUGAAUACAUUGUUUGAGGAGGUGUUUUUAAAAAGUAUUCAUGGCAAAGGCAAUAAAGUAUUGGACUGCUGAGAUAUGAAGGCACUUUUGCCAGAGUACAGAGAUUGCCCCUGGAAGCAGACUUUUAUUUUUUUUCCCCUAAAAUUUACCUUGAGGAGCUCGAAAACACAUUAAUUCCACUGAAAUAUUGCCACUUCUUCCUUCUUCAUGGAAAACCAUCAUUUCUGUCAUUUGCUUGUAGAUAUUUCUCACUGCUUGCUAUUAUUUACUUGCGAAAUCAAGGGAAAUCAAAAUUAUACAUAAAUGGUCAUUAAUACUCUGAUGACAAGCCUCUUUUUUGUAUUUUCUUUUUUUUUCUGCUUACCCUGUGAAAGUUUGCUCAGAAAAUGGAACUUCAGGCGUUUGUUUCUCCCAAAAUGGAACUUCAGGCAUGGUUUUUCCCAGCACCAUGGGGUGCUGGGUCAGGAUGUGAAUGACACGAGUGCUGGAGGACUGCAGUGACAGCAGAGCUCCAGAUCUGCUCAGUGUGGGAAGUCUGAGGAAUUUGGUCUUGACCUGCCUUGGAAGCUGAGAAUUCAGAUGCCACUCUGUGUUCCCUAAGGAGUAACAUCUGCCCACUGGUGGCAGCUCCAUCAAACGUUUUUGUAUUUUUGCUUCAGUUAGGCAAGUUAAAAUGAUCAGCAGUGGAAUGUUCCUGUUUGUAUUCUUUUUAGUCCUUUCUAGCAAAUACUAAAUGUGCUUUUCCUUCCUGGGAAGCUUGUUGUUGUUCUGGUAAUGAGACUUCACACAUUAAAGCGUGCUGGUAGGAGCAUGGAGGAGCUCAGGUGGCACACUGAACGUUGUUCCUGUUGCUAGGAAGUGAUGAAUCUGCUAUCUAACGUGUUCAUUUUCCUUCUGCAUCUCUCCAAUGUAUCCUGUUAGAAUUUUCCUUCAUUUAAGCUGUAAAAUCAAAUUCUCACUUCCUAUAGCCAAAAGCUGAAGCCCGUUAAUACUCUGAGUGAGCUUAAACCCCUAAUUUUAUAAUUGAAUUAACUUAAAAAGGUAAAUAUUCUCCUUUUUCUGUAGUUCACAAGAGGUGUUUUCCCCCUACUGUAGCAUGAUAUCUGCAACAUAAUUUAGAAGAUCUGAUUGCUUUGCUGCUUUUCCUGAAAUGACAGAUGAUUUUGUGCAAGCUCUCAAUUUUCCUUCCCAAUUCCCCAACUUGAGGAUUGUCAUCCCAAGCUUUAUUGCCUUUGCAAUGAAUUUUUUCCUUGGGAGGUACUAUUUUGAGCACAGAUUUUCUGUAACAGUGGGAAUUAUUAUCUGUGACUAAUAACAAUCUCUGUGGAGCUUGUUAUACAACGAAGACUGAUCAUGUGCUUGAAUAUAUUCAUGUGAUUGCUUGCAGCUACGAGUAGCUUAAAUUUCUGUAAGUUGCUGCUUUAUCAAAAAUGAUUUUUUUUCCCUACUGAAAUAAGGUAAAUUAUUAAACUACUGCUAUUUUAGCUCAAGUUCAAUAACACUUAAGUGAACUUGCAUGCAACAAUCUAGAAAAAUGUAUGAAUUAACAGUGGUUAGUCUGGUCCUUUAACUGUUCUAACAGAAUUUUAAUUGUAACUUAAGUAGCUCCUUCUAUAGCUAACCUAUGUUUCUAAAAUAACAUUUCUUCAGAAGUGCCACAUAGAUGUGCCAAUAACAAGACACCAGUAGAAAAGAUUUUACUUGGAACCCAAUUUUAUCCUUGUUUAUUUAUUUUCUAAACAGCUCUUGUUUUGUGUAAAUGUUCUGAGAAUUAAUUAUCCUUCUGGGCACAGCGUGGAGCUCUCUAGAACAUCUAGGGCUUUGCAGGAGGAUCAGAGUCAGGAUGUUCUUUCUUCUGAUGUGGCUCAAUUUCAUAUUCUAAUCCCUAUUCGAGUAUUUUUGUAGGAGAAAACUUGAAGGCAAGGCAAUCUGUAGUAAUAAAGAGUACAGGACUGGUGGCUGUGUACACAUGAAGUUUAUUACCUUGUUUUCUGUGGAUUUUUGUAGGUAACAAGAUGAUCUUUAAGGUCCCUUCCAAACCAGGCCAUUCUGUGAUUCUAUUAUGCCAAAUUUAUACAGUUGGUAGACACAUCUACUUUGGAUUUGCUUUUGUUAAGUCAGCCCUGAGGAUGUAAAACAAAAGUGAAAGUGAACAACAGGAGCUUGUUACCCAAUAAAAGAUUGCAGAGGUUGCAAACCAAGUGUCAGCAGUGAGAGCCACAAGGAAUUUCUGUGCUGGGCAAGUCCAAAAAUGAGGAUGCUGGAGGCAUCCCCAGUGCUGCUUUUCUGUAGAAAUUGCACCUGGGAUGGAUUUUAUUUAUUUUGGAGAGCCUGGAAUAAUAAAGAAGUGCUUGCUGAAUAUUCAGUAACAUUUCCUUGUAAGGCCAAUUGCCUGGGUGCUGUCACCUCGUUGGGUACCUAAUGCUGCCCUGGGAGAUGGGACAUGAGGUUUUGGGUGUGCUGGGGAGGGGGUGGAGGAUGGGGACUGCAAGCAGAGCAGGGAAAGUCAUUAGAAAAUAACAAGUGUUUUCAAAAACUCUGUGAGGAUCUGAUUGCCAUCUGAGUUCUGUCAGUUCAGAAUAUAAACACAGCAUGGUGACUGGAACUGAAGUGUGUUUCUACUGUGGAGCGUGAUGCAAGGUCAAAAAGAGUGAUUUGAAUUGUGCAAGUUAGACAAUGAUUUCUGAAAAAAAUACUUUGACACAGAGCUAUCAGAAAUGGCAAUUGAAGAAAAGAGACUAGGGAAGAGUUGUAACUGUAUAUCCUUAACUGUAUGAAGCUGUCAAACAGUAGAGUAACUUAAUUUUGAUGAAACCCUGUCCUUUGGUUCUGUCCCCCUACUGAGGAGUGUAAGGCAAAAAAACCCUUCAAGCCUUGGUGUUUUAUUCCAAACUAGGAUGAUGAUGGUGAUGAUAAUUGUGGUUUUCCACACUUUCAAACCUUUGAGCCAGCCAUGGCAUAUAUAGGGAGCCAGCAGAGUUGUGCCAAGACUUGGUUAUGAGGCAUCUGCUGUGAGUCAGCCUUGCUCCAGCAGAGAUGAAAUCUGACAUCACUUGCUCCCUAAAGUGACUUUAAAGAUGUUGUUAGAGGCUUCUUUUCACAGGGUCAGCCACUAAAAUAGCUAUAUCUGCAGUGCUGAUUGAUUUGGAUGAUUUUUUUUAAAUACUCCUUCAGUUGCCUUGAUUGAAAAGUCACUGGGGAAUGACUGACACAAUCUUGUCAAGCUCUUGUCAAGCAAAGUUACGUUUUAGUUGCUUUAAUGCCAAACUGAUGGCUUCAGCCUGCUUGUCCUGGCCUGACUGGUUAAAAUUUAGGAAAUCUGUUCACUUUCACAAGAAAACAAAGUCUCUGUUGACUUGCAGUGCUACCAGGAGAUGAUGGCAGCAAGAACUUACUCUGACUUUGUGGGACAGCAGAUGAGGGGGAAGGCCCAGGGGAAUUUGUCUCCUUUUCCCAAAGCCUUGUUUUCAUAGAUGCCUUGCAGAACUGUGCUGGUUGUGAAUUUAGGAGGGAGACUGCUCCGGCACUCUUAUGACUGGAGUUUCAUUUAUUAUGUGCUGUUGUGAUAAAUUACUCAUUGAUGCCCUGAGAGUAUUUUCUCUGAUCUGUCUGUUCUUUUGUAUUGUUCUAAUUCUUUAUUUUAACUUCCUUUUGUCUUUAAAUCCUCAAAAUGCUAACACACGUUUCAUCCAUCUGCAUUUUAAAGUCUUUGUCCCAUGGACUGAUAAAUAAUGAUAUUGUCAAA